rnacentral:rRNA from 1 species
UGGCCGCAGUACUUUAACUGUGCAAAGGUAGCAUAAUAAUUUGUUUUUUAAUUGGAAACUUGUAUGAAUGGUCAUACGAGGGAUUGACUUUCUUUAUCUUAUAUUAAUUAAUUUUAUUUCUCUGUGAAAAAGCAGAGAUGUAUUUAUUAGACGAUAAGACCCUUUAAAACUUUAUUUAUUAUAAAAGCAUGAGUUUUUAGUUGUUUUUUUGUGCUAUUUUUAGUGAAUUUUGUUGGGGCGACAGGUAAAUUUAUUGAACUUUACUUUUUUAUAUCACAAAUUAGUGUUUGCUUGAUCCAGGUUUAUGUUCUGAUUAAAAGCUUAAGUUACUUUA